rnacentral:tRNA from 3 species
GGUUCCGUAGCCAAGUGGCUAAGGCAAUAGACUGCAACUCUGUGAUCAUCGGUUCGAAUCCGAUCGGAACCUCCA